UAGGGAUGAAAUCAUAAGAUAUUUCAUUUACGAUGAAAUUUAGCAGUUUUGCCAUUCUUAU
rnacentral:tRNA from 1 species